AAGUAAUUUUAUUUUGGUUAAGGUGUUUAUUAUUUGGUUGGGCUACAUGCUAUUAUUUGAUCUAAAGGAGAGUUGAGGUUGCAGUGGUUAGUAUUAAAUAUCAAGGGAACUUGGAAUUAGCAAUCUACGAAGUAUUGGUUAAAGUCGUGCCAGCUGCCGCGGUUAUACGGGGAAUGCAAGUGAACAUAGUUAGUAUGGAAUUAAUAGUUUAUUAAGGUUGAUAGAUGUUAUAUGAUGGUGAAAUAGAUAUUAUAAUGGUUGAAUCCUUUGGUUAGUUUAUAUGAGGUUCUGAAAUUUUUAAUGUAAACUAGGAUUAGAUACCCUAUUAUUGAAAAUGUAAAGUUAUGAUUGGAGUAGUAUUAGUUAAGGCCUUGAAACUCAAAAAAUUUGGCGGUGACUCAGUCUUUUCAGAGGAAUCUGUUGCGUGAUCGAUAGUACACGAUUGGUUUUACUUACUUUUGUAUUAUUACAGCUUGUAUACCGCCGUCAUAGGAAUAUUUUUUAAGAAUUAAUUUUCAGGAUAUUUGUAGAUAGGAUGUCAGGUCAAGGUGCAGUUAAUGGGUAAGGGCUAAUGGAUUACAUUGGAGUUAUUCAUACGGAUAUGGAUUUUAAAGGUUCAUUGAAGGUGGAUUUGAUAGUAAAGUUUAUGAUAAAUCUAGGCUUGAUUGGGGCUCUGAGUCAUGCACACAUCGCCCGUCGCUCUCGUUAGUUAAAUGAGAUAAGUCGUAACAAAGUAGGGGUACUGGAAAGUGUACCUAGAAUGUA
rnacentral:ncRNA from 1 species